GUAGGUGGCAAGCGUUGUCCGGAAUUAUUGGGCGUAAAGCGCGCGCAGGGGUGGUUCUUUAAGUCUGAUGUGAAAGCCCCCGGGCUCAACCGGGGAGGGUCAUUGGAAACUGGGGAACUUGAGUGCAGGAGAGGAAAGUGGAAUUCCACGUGUAGCGGUGAAAUGCGUAGAUAUGUGGAGGAACACCAGUGGCGAAGGCGACUUUCUGGCCUGUAACUGACACUGAGGCGCGAAAGCGUGGGGAGCAAACAGGAUUAGAUACCCCGGUAGUCCACGCCGUAAACGAUGAGUGCUAAGUGUUGGGGGGUUUCCGCCCCUCAGUGCUGCAGCUAACGCAUUAAGCACUCCGCCUGGGGAGUACGGUCGCAAAGACUG
rnacentral:rRNA from 1 species